GGAGAGGUGGCAGAGUGGUUGAAUGCGGCACCCUGCUAAGGUGUUACUCCGUUUAUUCGGGGUCGAGGGUUCGAAUCCCUCCCUCUCCGCCA
rnacentral:tRNA from 1 species